UACAGAGGGUGCGAGCGUUAAUCGGAAUACUGGGCGUAAAGCGUGCGUAGACGGUUAUUUAAGUCGGGUGGUGAAAGCCCCGGGCUCAACCUGGGAAUUGCAUUCGAGACUGAAUAGCUAGGGUACGGUAGAGGGAAGUGGAAUUCCGGUGUAGCGGUGAAAUGCGUAGAUAUCGGAAGGAACAUCAGUGGCGAAAGCGACUUCCUGGACCAG
rnacentral:rRNA from 1 species